rnacentral:miRNA from 6 species
UAGCAGCGGGAACAGUUCUGCAG